AAAGGAAUCACAACAACAUCUGGAAUCAAUUGAAUCAAUGAACCAGAUCUGUCAUUUGCAUAUUUCUCUCUUUUCUUUCUCUCUCCUCUUCUCUUUCCCUCCUUUCUUUCUCCU
rnacentral:ribozyme from 13 species